UACAGAGGGUGCAAGCGUUAAUCGGAAUUACUGGGCGUAAAGCGUGCGUAGACGGUUACAUAAGUCGGGUGUGAAAGCCCCGGGCUCAACCUGGGAAUUGCAUUCGAGACUGCGUAGCUAGGGUGCGGAAGAGGGAAGCGGAAUUUCCGGUGUAGCGGUGAAAUGCGUAGAUAUCGGGAGGAACACCGGUGGCGAAGGCGGGUCUCUGGGCAAUUCCUGACGCUGAGGCGCGAAAGCGUGGGGAGCAAACGGG
rnacentral:rRNA from 1 species